rnacentral:rRNA from 1 species
AACGCGAAGAACCUUACCAGGUCUUGACAUCCCGCUGCCCGGUAUAGAGAUAUACCUUUCCCUUCGGGGACAGCGGUGACAGGUGGUGCAUGGUUGUCGUCAGCUCGUGUCGUGAGAUGUUGGGUUAAGUCCCGCAACGAGCGCAACCCUUGAUCUUAGUUGCCAGCAUUCAGUUGGGCACUCUAAGGUGACUGCCGGUGACAAACCGGAGGAAGGUGGGGAUGACGUCAAAUCAUCAUGCCCCUUAUGACCUGGGCUACACACGUGCUACAAUGGACGGUACAAAGGGCUGCGAACCCGCGAGGGGGAGCCAAUCCCAUAAAACCGUUCCCAGUUCGGAUUGCAGGCUGCAACUCGUCUGCAUGAAGCCGGAAUCGCUAGUAAUCGUGGAUCAGCAUGCCACGGUGAAUACGUUCCCGGG